rnacentral:rRNA from 1 species
GGAAGUGAACCAUCUCAGUACCCACAGGAAAAGAAAACAACUGUGAUUCCGGGGGUAGCGGCGAGCGAAACCGGAAGAGCCCAAACCGUGUACGUGUAAGCUUGCAGGCGUUGCGUACGCGGGGUCGUGGGAGCCACAAGUCGGAUCUGCUUGUCCGGCACAGAGUUACAAAGUCAGUCGUUAGCGGAAGGGUCUGGAAAGGCCGACCAUAGAGGGUGAUAGUCCCGUAUGCGAAAGCGAAUUGACCUCUGAGUGGAGUUCCCAAGUACAGCGGGGCACGAGAAACCUUGCUGGAAUUUGUCGCGACCAUGCGAUAAGGCUAAAUAGGACCAUCAGACCGAUAGUGAACCAGUACCGUGAGGAAAAGGCGAAAAGAACCCCGAUGAGGGGAGUGAAAUAGAACCUGAAACCGUCAAUCUACAAGCAGUGGAACCGCUAUGGUUUACCAGCGGAACCGCGUGCCUUUUGCAUAAUGAGCCGGCUAGUUAUUUUCAGUGGCGAGGUGAAGCCGAAGAGGCGAAGCCGAAGGGAAACCGAGUCUGAAUAGGGCGAUAGUCGCUGGGAAUAGACGCGAAACGGGAUGAUCUAUCCUUGAGCAGGAUGAAGGUAGGGUGAAACCUAUUGGAGGUCCGAACCAGUGUGGGUUGAAAACCGCUUGGAUGACUUGAGGAUAGGGGUGAAAGGCCAAUCAAAUUCCGUGAUAGCUCGUUCUCCCCGAAAUAGCUUUAGGGCUAGCCUCGGAUGUUUCGUCGUGCAGGUAGAGAACUGAAUGGACUAGGGGGCUUACCAGCUUACUGAAUCCAGCCAAUCUUCGAAUGGCACGCCGUGUAGUCCGGGAGUCAGACUGCGGGUGAUAAGAUCCGUAGUCGAGAGGGAAACAACCCAGAUCGCCAGCUAAGGUCCCAAAAUAUAUGCUAAGUGGAAAAGGAUGUGGAUGUGCUUAGACAGCCAGGAGGUUAGCUUAGAAGCAGCUAUCCUUUAAAGAAAGCGUAAUAGCUCACUGGUCAAGCGGGUCUGUGCCGACAAUUCAACGGGGCUCAAGCAUAUUACCGAAGCUGCGAACUCUAUGGAGUGGUAGGGGAGCAUUCCCUAAGUCUGCGAAGGUUGACCGUCAGGACAGCUGGAGACAUGGGAAGAGACUCUGUCGGCAUAAGUAGCGUAAAGAGGGGCGAGAACCCCCUCCGCCGUAAGACUAAGGUUUCCAACGCAAGGUCAAUCCGCGUUGGGUUAGUCGGAGCCUAAGCUGAGGCCGAAAGGCGUAGGCGAUGGUAAGCCGGUUAAUAUUCCGGCACCAUGUACGGUUCGUUUGUACGAUGCAGGGACGCAGGAAGGUAGGGACGCAGGGCUAUGGAAUGUUCUGCGGAAGGUCUCAAGGGUGGGACUUAGGGAAGUCCGGGUCCCAUAAGCUCGAGAGCCAAGACGAAAAGUCCUGAUCCUACACUGCCGAGAAAAGCUGCUAAGGAGAGCCGUGUGUGUCCGUACCGCAAACCGACACAGGUAGUCGAGGAGAGAAUCCUCAGGCGUUUGAGAGAACUCUGCUGAAGGAACUCGGCAAAUUAACCCCGUAACUUCGGGACAAGGGGUACCCCGGUAGGGUUUAUAGCCCGAUGGGGUGGCACAUAAAUGUCCCAGGCGACUGUUUAACAAAAACACAGGUCUCUGCAAACUCCAAAGAGGAGGUAUAGGGGCUGACGCCUGCCCGGUGCCGGAAGGUUCAAGAGGAGCGGUUAGCGCAAGCGAAGCUGCGAAUUUAAGCCCCGGUGAACGGCGGCCGUAACUAUAACGGUCCUAAGGUAGCGAAAUUCCUUGUC